rnacentral:ncRNA from 1 species
UCCCGUCGCAUGUGCGGGUCAUCGCAUGCACCUCCCUGUUGGACCUGACCGGGCCUCGUGCCCGGUCUUUUUU